AAAAAAAAAAAGCGCCUUUUUGUCUAGGGGGUUAUUUUGGUAAGAAAGUGUUUUUUUUAAAAAAAAAUGAGAGAAAAACUAGUUUCGCGUUAAGUUGUUCGGGUUAUUUGAAAUUUUCUGAGCGUGUUUGCGUCAUAGUUGUCCGGCGGAAAGAGAAACUGUGUCUAUCUAUCCCCGCAAACCAUUGUUGACCUCCCCCGUUAAAGAAUCCUAUCCGCUGAUGGGGAAGAGACUAAACCUUAUAUACCCGCCUGAAGAACGAAGGAACUAGCGAUUGGUGAGUACGAACGAACGGCUCUAGUCGAAUGCAUAUGAGUGAAUCUGUGAAGUAAACUGGGCUGUUAAUUCAUGGGUCACUUAAGAAAUUAAAAGAUCUAACAGCCGGCUGGUUGUGACAAUCUGAGAAAAUGGGGUUUUCAGAGAGUCUACAAGGUACUCAGCUCUUUGCAUUUUCUCUUCUUGUUCUUGUUAUUGGUUUUUCAUUGCAUUCUCUUCUGUUUAAUGCUCUAUCUCUCUCUUUCCAUUUGAUUUGCGUGUCUUUUUACUCCUUGUUAUGUAU
rnacentral:lncRNA from 1 species